ACAGAAUUGUGAAGCACAGGAGACAGUUCCACGAGGCGCUCGCGGUUCAUGAGCUCUUACGUCAGCACGCUGGGCUUCUGCCCGCUUUUGGCUCCACUUGUUCUCUGUCCAGGACCCGCUGAGGAAGGGCAGGGGUGCCCUGCCUGUCACUGGCGAGGCUUGCUCGCUCCCCCCGUCUUUCUGAUGGAACACCUAUGGCUCUGGACACCUCCUCUCUUCUUUGUUUAUCUCCCACUCCACGUGCUCAGGACCAUGUGUCAGUAGGGGGCUGGUGUGGCAGCGAAGGAGAACACGAGACCGGCAGAGGGAUGCAGGCACACGCAUGCGCACACAUACACACGGGAUCCAGACAGAGAGAGAGAGUGAGCAGGUGCACAAGCAGGGGGAGCUGCAGGCAGAGGAAGAGGGAGAAGCAGACUCCCCGCUGAGCUGGAAGCCCGAUGGGGGGCCCCAUUCAGGCACUGCCGGCCCAAUCUGGGGGCCCAUGCAGCACAGGGCGUUGGUCUGAAAUACUGUUCUGCGACUUGCUUCUUUCACCCUCCGUCACAUCCCAGUGGGCCCCUCGGAUUGGAGAGGCAGCAUUCCAC